rnacentral:rRNA from 1 species
AUUGAACGCUGGCGGCAUGCUUUACACAUGCAAGUCGAACGGUAACAGGCCUUCGGGUGCUGACGAGUGGCGAACGGGUGAGUAAUGCAUCGGAACGUACCCAGAGGUGGGGGAUAACGCAGCGAAAGCUGUGCUAAUACCGCAUGUGAUCUGAGGAUGAAAGCGGGGGACCGAGCAGCAAUGUUUGGCCUCGCGCCUUUGGAGCGGCCGAUGUCGGAUUAGCUAGUUGGUGGGGUAAAGGCCUACCAAGGCGACGACCCGUAGCUGGUCUGAGAGGACGACCAGCCACACUGGGACUGAGACACGGCCCAGACUCCUACGGGAGGCAGCAGUGGGGAAUUUUGGACAAUGGGCGCAAGCCUGAUCCAGCAAUGCCGCGUGCGGGAAGAAGGCCUUCGGGUUGUAAACCGCUUUUGGCAGGAACGAAACGGUGUCCGCUAAUACCGGGCGCUAAUGACGGUACCUGCAGAAUAAGCACCGGCUAACUACGUG